rnacentral:rRNA from 1 species
UACGGAGGGGGCUAGCGUUGUUCGGCAUUACUGGGCGUAAAGCGCACGUAGGCGGCUUUGCAAGUUAGAGGUGAAAGCCCGGGGCUCAACUCCGGAAUUGCCUUUAAAACUGCAUCGCUAGAAUUGUGGAGAGGUAAGUGGAAUUCCGAGUGUAGAGGUGAAAUUCGUAGAUAUUCGCAAGAACACCAGUGGCGAAGGCGGCUCACUGGCCCGAUACUGACGCUGAGGUGCGAAAGCGUGGGGAGCAAACAGG